UCCAAGCGUGCUCACAGUGGGGACCAGGCAAGAUCGUGGACGCCGUGAUUCAGGAGCACCAGCCCUCCGUGCUGCUGGAGCUGGGGGCCUACUGUGGCUACUCAGCUGUGCGCAUGGCCCGCCUGCUGUCACCAGGGGCGAGGCUGCUCACCAUCGAGAUCAACCCUGACUUCGCCGCCGUCACCCAGCGGAUGGUGGAUUUCGCUGGCGUGCAGGACAAGGUCACCCUUGUGGUUGGGGCGUCCCAGGACAUCAUUCCCCAGCUGAAGAAGAAGUAUGACGUGGACACGCUGGACAUGGUCUUCCUCGACCACUGGAAGGACCGGUACCUGCCGGACACGCUUCUCCUGGAGG
rnacentral:sRNA from 1 species